AGCGAACGCUGGCGGCAGGCCUAACACAUGCAAGUCGAACGAAGUCUUCAGACUUAGUGGCGGACGGGUGAGUAACACGUGGGAACGUGCCUUUAGGUUCGGAAUCACUCAGGGAAACUUGUGCCAAUACCGAAUGUGCCCUCCGGGGGAAAGAUUUAUCGCCUUUAGAGCGGCCCGCGGCCGAUUAGCUAGUUGGUGAGGUAAAGGCUCACCAAGGCUACGAUCAGUAGCUGGUCUGAGAGGAUGACCAGCCACAUUGGGACUGAGACACGGCCCAAACUCCUACGGGAGGCAGCGGUGGUGAAUCAUGCGCAAUGGGCGAAAACUUGACGCAGCCAUGCCGCGUGGAUGAUGAAGUUCUUAGGAUUGUAAAAUCCUUUCACCGGUGAAGAUGAUGACUGUAGCCGGGGAAGAAGCCCCGGCUAACUUCGUGCCAGCCGCCACUGUAAAAC
rnacentral:rRNA from 1 species